CAGUUGUCUGGCUGAGCACAGGUUGGAAACAAGUUGUUUCCAGUGUGAAGUCUGCAGGACAACAUGAGGAACUUCAGAGGCUUCAACAGGAAGCCGAACUGCAACUUGUUACACAAUACAACAUUGAAAGAGGAUAACACAAUUAUAAUG